GACGAACGCUGGCGGCGUGCUUAACACAUGCAAGUCGAACGGAAAGGCCCUGCUUUUGUGGGGUGCUCGAGUGGCGAACGGGUGAGUAACACGUGAGUAACCUGCCCUUGACUUUGGGAUAACUUCAGGAAACUGGGGCUAAUACCGGAUAGGAGCUCCUGCUGCAUGGUGGGGGUUGGAAAGUUUCGGCGGUUGGGGAUGGACUCGCGGCUUAUCAGCUUGUUGGUGGGGUAGUGGCUUACCAAGGCUUUGACGGGUAGCCGGCCUGAGAGGGUGACCGGCCACAUUGGGACUGGGAUACGGCCCAGACUCCUACGGGAGGCAGCAGUGGGGAAUAUUGCACAAUGGGCGGAAGCCUGAUGCAGCAACGCCGCGUGCGGGAUGACGGCCUUCGGGUUGUGAACCGCUUUCGCCUGUGACGAAGCGUGAGUGACGGUAAUGGGUAAAGAAGCACCGGCUAACUACGUG
rnacentral:rRNA from 1 species